rnacentral:rRNA from 1 species
GACGAACGCUGGCGGCGUGCUUAACACAUGCAAGUCGAACGGUGAAGCGCCUUCCUUUUUGGUGGGUGUGGAUGAGUGGCGAACGGGUGAGUAACACGUGAGUAACCUGCCCCCUUCUUCUGGAUAACCGCAUGAAAGUGUGGCUAAUACGGGAUAUUCUGGGUCUGUCGCAUGAUGGGUCUGGGAAAGAUAUUGUUUCGGUGGGGGAUGGGCUCGCGGCCUAUCAGCUUGUUGGUGGGGUGAUGGCCUACCAAGGCGGUGACGGGUAGCCGGCCUGAGAGGGUGGCCGGUCACACUGGGACUGAGCCACGGCCCCGACUCCUACGGGAGGCAGCAGUGUGGAAUAUUGCACAAUGGGCGCAAGCCUGAUGCAGCGCCGCCGCGUGAGGGAUGGAGGCCUUCGGGUUGUGACCCUCUUUCGCCAGUGAAGCAGGCCUGCCUCGUUUGUGGGUGGGUUGACGGUAGCUGGAUAAGAAGCGCCGGCUAACUACGUG